UACGUAGGUGGCAAGCGUUAUCCGGAAUUAUUGGGCGUAAAGAGCGCGCAGGUGGUUGAUUAAGUCUGAUGUGAAAGCCCACGGCUUAACCGUGGAGGGUCAUUGGAAACUGGUCGACUUGAGUGCAGAAGAGGGAAGUGGAAUUCCAUGUGUAGCGGUGAAAUGCGUAGAGAUAUGGAGGAACACCAGUGGCGAAGGCGGCUUCCUGGUCUGUAACUGACACUGAGGAGCGAAAGCAUGAGUAGCGAACAGGAUUAGA
rnacentral:rRNA from 1 species